UACGGGGGGGGCAAGCGUUGUUCGGAAUUACUGGGCGUAAAGGGCUCGUAGGCGGCCAACUAAGUCGGAUGUGAAAUCCCCAGGCUUAACCUGGGAACUGCAUCCGAUACUGGAUGGCUUGAAUCCGGGAGAGGGAUGCGGAAUUCCAGGUGUAGCGGUGAAAUGCGUAGAUAUCUGGAGGAACACCAAUAGCGAAGGCAGCUCGCUGGGACGUUACUGACACUGAGGCGCGAAAGCGUGGGGAGCAAACGGG
rnacentral:rRNA from 1 species